GACGAACGCUGGCGGCGUGCUUAACACAUGCAAGUCGAACGGAAAGGCCCUGCUUUUGUGGGGUGCUCGAGUGGCGAACGGGUGAGUAACACGUGAGUAACCUGCCCUUGACUUUGGGAUAACUUCAGGAAACUGGGGCUAAUACCGGAUAGGAGCUCCUGCUGCAUGGUGGGGGUUGGAAAGUUUCGGCGGUUGGGGAUGGACUCGCGGCUUAUCAGCUUGUUGGUGGGGUAGUGGCUUACCAAGGCUUUGACGGGUAGCCGGCCUGCGAGGGUGACCGGCCACAUUGGGCCGGAGAUACGGCCCAGACUCCUACGGGAGGCAGCAGUGGGGAAUAUUGCACAAUGGGCGGAAGCCUGAUGCAGCAACGCCGCGUGCGGGAUGACGGCCUUCGGGUUGUAAACCGCUUUCGCCUGUGACGAAGCGUGAGUGACGGUAAUGGGUAAAGAAGCACCGGCUAACUACGUG
rnacentral:rRNA from 1 species